CUCCCUCAAACUGAAGAUUUCUCUCAAAUCUCUCUUCCCACCGAUUUUCACCCUUCAAAUCGCCCGUUUAGAAACCAACUUCCUCUCUUCUUUCUUUCUCAUUUGGGCGAUUCGAGCUUACCCUAGAUUCUACCCCUCUUCUCCAAACCGAUGAUUUACCUCUCCAAAAUCUUUGCCUUUUCUUCUAAAAUUCUUUCUGCUCUACCUCUCAUUUAGUCUCCUAAGCUCCUU
rnacentral:lncRNA from 1 species